rnacentral:rRNA from 1 species
UACGGAGGGUGCAAGCGUUGUUCGGAAUUACUGGGCGUAAAGCGUGCGCAGGCGGUUUUGUAAGCCAGAUGUGAAAGCCCCGGGCUUAACCUGGGAAUGGCAUUUGGGACUGCAAGGCUUGAGUGCGGCAGAGGAGACUGGAAUUCCCGGUGUAGCAGUGAAAUGCGUAGAUAUCGGGAGGAAUACCGAUGGCGAAGGCAGGUCUCUGGGCUGACACUGACGCUCAUGCACGAAAGCGUGGGGAGCAAACAGG